CGGAGGAGCGGGAGGAGAAGGCGCGGGAGAAGAGAGAGCGGAGACCCCGUCGCCUACCCCUCCGAGCCCAGCCCGCGGCAGCGAGCGGCGGCGCGGGGCAGCGGCUGCAGCUGGGGGAUGCGCAGCGCCGGCCACAACUUCCCCGCCGCCUGCACGGGGAGGGUUCAGGUUGCAGCGGGAACGGGCUUGGGAGCCGGGCGUGCCCGCACCGCCGGGCCGAGAGUACCCGCGUGCGGCACGGAGGAGAAGGCGGAGAACGGAGGUGGCGGCUCGGACGGAGCGCGGGAGCGGCGCGGGGACCUGUUGACCGAGCGAGGCGAGCCCGUGUCGGAGCGGGACCUCGAACCGCGGGCGGCCCGCCGCCGAGCCGAGCCGGGAGCGGCGGGCGGCGAGGGGUUCGAUCGGCGCGAGGCGGGGAGGAGGCGCGGGGCCGGAGAGCUCCAGGUGCCACGGUCACUCUGCGCACAGGGCGGGCGGCCGUGUCCGUGCGGCCAUGUGCUCCGUGCGGGGCGCGGAUAAACAGGCGGGUGUGUGCGGCACAGGUACGUUCGUACGAUUUGAUUUGUAUAUAAUAGAGCGUGUCAAGCUUCUCGAGGUAACUGCAGUGCAGAAGUAAUGACUUUAUUACCUCUGAAACGUUCUGCAGUUCGCAUUUAACAGUGCUCUGAAUAAUUACAAGUCAUUAUGCAACCGUGCGCUCUCCGAAGCCCACGUACGGUGGGAUGCCUGGCCAGGGCCGGUUCUGAUAAAUAACAGGCAGCGUCCCAUCGGUUCUCUGUAAAAGCUCCUAGCGAAUUAAUCACUUAGUUACACCUCAGCCUGCCGGCUCGCCGCACCGCGGCUGAGAUUCCAGCGGUGACUGCCCCGGCCGCACUGUGAGACGUACUCGACAGCUGAUUGUGCGGAUGCUCUCGGGAACGGCUGCGAGCGAGUCCCGCCGGCAGCGUGCCCUCAGUGCCGGCACGGAGCAACAGCUCGGGCGAAGCGGAGCCGUACCUCAGCGGGGCGCUCCCGCCGGCCGGCCGGGCGCUGCUGUCGGCACUGAUCACAAUAACGCGCUCUGCCCGCCGCCCCCCGCGCCGCUCUGUCAUGUGACGAGAGGGCGACAACAGACCGGGAAACGAGGCGUCGGGAGGCGUUCUUAGAGCGCCGUAUCCACGGGCUUUAUUAAAGCAGGUGGGUUUUUAUUUUGCUGCGCUUUAGUGGAAGGAAGGAGGCUGUUUAACGAGCAGCCGUGGACACGAAUAACUGUAUUUACAAGCCCUAACGCGGCUUUUGCCAGGCGGUAAAUCCUGAGCCGCGACCAUUAUUCGCCGUAGCCCGGGGCGCGCAGCCCGGUCCGUGCCCCAUAACGAUGCAGCGCGGCUCUCCUCGAGCCCUUCGGUGUACUCCGGUGUCAGCUCGCGGCCAGCAGUGUUUUGAAUGGGGGACUUUUCUCGGCGCUUCCUGAGGUAUGGUUCUGUCUCUGAUCUCCGCCUUUAAUGGCCGAGCCCUGGUUUAUGCUUUAUAACGUGUUGACAAGUUUUCUAACAGACUUUCUGAAAUAACGCACAUAUAUUCACGUCGGUUACAAACUCUACAGUAUUUUUAGCGCCGAGUAGAUCUAUAUCCUAAUGCACUGAGAGAGAGUGUAAAUCAUGGAGGAUUUCAUAGCCCCUUCAGUAGUUUCUGUAUGAAGUACGAGCAGCGUGGCCUCCAGACGUAACCUUUUAGAAAAAAAGACAGCUCUUUUAUUUUAUGGUGUAAAGUGCUUUUAGCUUCAGGGCUCUGAACGUGAACGCGGUCAACAAACAGCUCCUGCGAGGGGCUUAGCUGCGGUCCGGCCCCUGCGCUUGUUGCUGCGCGGCCGUCGGGCGGCUCACGGGGCCCCCUCCCCCCCCCCCCCCCCCCCCUCCGCUCCGCCUGGGCACAGCCGCGCACGCCUCGCCCCGGGGAGGGGUUGCGGGGCUCCCGGCGCGGCCGGACAGGCAGCGGUGGCGGGGGUCCAGCGGCAGCGGCCCCCGGGAAAGGAGGAGCUGGGGGGGCCUCAGGCGCUGCCCUUCCUACAGCAUCCUCUGUACGCCGCCCUGGCACGUGGCGCGUGGUCAGUCCGCACUGUACCUACUGCAUAAAGUGACGGCACUGCUCAGUAACGCUCGUAGACGCAGCACUUAAACACAGCUAAAAUUUUUCAAAGACUGCUAGUUGUGGAAAUGCGGCAGGCAAGAGGACGAGUGGGAACAAAACUGGGCAAGCGCUAAAGACAGCCCAGCAAAAGGGCUGCAGGACUGGCGCGCACUCACGCGUCACCUCCCUCUCAGCCACGGCCCUCCCCUGCCGUGCCAUCCUGCCGCUGUGCCUCACCCCAGCCAGAUCAUCCACUCCUUGGUAUGGACUCCUGGCUCCAGAGCUCCAGAGCAGUCUUGGGAAAAUGUGCCUGAUUGCCCUAGCCAUGUGCAGGCAAGCCCAGAGGUUGGCGCUGGAGCCUGAGCCAUAGGGUUGUCACAUUCACCUGGGAGUCCAGCCUCAGGAAGAGGCUGCCCACAUGCUGCAGCCCCUCAGCUGGCUCCCAUCCUGCCCCUUGCAGACCAGAGCCCCAGGAUGCCUGCCGAGAAUGUCUGUGUGCCUCCGGUGCCUCAGCCCUGGAAACGGCAGCAUGGUCCUUCCUUCCAGCUGAGCCUGGAGGCUGCUCUAUAAAGGGACUGCCUCAAAUGAGGAAGUGUGGUCUGCCUCCCUCUCACAGACAGGCACAUGGUCCCUGUGUGGCGCUGAGGCCUAGAGGUACAGAGGAGCGUGAUGCAGCAUGUGCUGCAUGCUGCCAUCCCUGUCUGUCUGCUGAUUUAGCUGCAGACUUGGUAGCAGGUGAGUUCAGGAACUUAGGUGGGCAAAUGUUCCCACUUCAGUGCUCCAACUGUCAUUCAUUCAUGGCAGCGUUCUCACAUGUCAAAAUGGAACAUUAGAACCAAACACAAAUUCCAAAACAAUGCCAGUCCUCCUGAGCCACGUGUUACAUAACGGCCAACAUCGCAGGCACCCUCCUCACCCAGUGAUAGCCUCAAUCAGGCAGAGGCACCACGGGUGGAACUCUUAUCGCACCAAGCUGACUCCCGACGAAUGUGCAGAGGACUCACGUGUCCUAGAAAUGGCUUGUGCAUUGGUACUGCAGGGCGAGCAACAUGGGCACACUGCUUUCGGUUUUCUCCUUUUUUGUUGCUGUUUUUGUUUUGUUUUUUACUAAGGGCUCAAAAUAAGCUCUGAUCCUGCAAGCACUUACUAGCAAGCACUGCACACACAGCAGCGAGUCUGUGCAGGAUCACACACAUAUGGGCAUCAGGUGACCAAAAGAUUUUGUUAUGGGCUGCUCUAGACAGGAUCCAGAACAAGGUGCUGAACUUGAGGAGAGUUUUUCCAGAGGUUACAGCAAGGUGUGGGUUGUCAGCCUGCUCCUGCUUGCACAGCUCUGGGCACAGUGGAGCCAUGAACCUUGACUGGGCGGUCUAGGGAUGGCUGUAAAAUGAAUGGCACAAAGCACUCGGGAUGUAGACUCAUUUGCAAACCCCUCCUCUAAGUGUACACAUCCUCGUGGGUAGGCAGGCGGGGAGGCACUAGUUAUAAAGGAUGCCAGUAACAGCUCACUUUUAAUCUCAUGUUUCAUUUUGGCCAAAGUCUGGUUUUAGUUUUCACUACUCCAGAAGUUAUUUUACUAUUACUUAUUUUGUAUUUUAUUUAUGGUCUCCUCUAUUUUUGUACGUAAGCAUGUAACACGCCCCUGACAACUUGUAUCCUAAGCUUCUAGCCAAGGCAAUUUAAGCAUGGUGGGUUUAGAAUCGAUGUAUGGUGUGAAUCCAUACGAUCUUAAUUAUAGCAGUAUAGCAGCCACGGUACGAGGGAAGUAGCAGGGCUUUCAUUACUAAAGAGGCACAGUAUUUAAGGUCUGUCAGUGUUCCUGUUACAAUCCCCAUCUUGAAGAGGUUAUAACUUGGGCUGUGUAAAUUUGAUUGAGCUGAAACUUGGGACUCAAACUGCCAGUCCAAAUAGGGAAUUACCUUAUGAAUAAUUGGCUAACCCGCUGCUUGAUUCAGAGGCCUUUAUAAAAUGAUUUUAAUGGGUUCUAAUGUUUUUUUCUUUUACUGACAUCUAGGGUAUGAAUGUGGUACUUCUAGCUCUUCUGAAGCUCCAUAUUGAACAGCACAUAUAUAGGUACAUGCAUUAAAACUAUACAGCAACACAAGAGUUCAUGGGGCACAUGUGUCACUCUUACAGAUCCAUGUGUGGACAUAUGCAGACCGAGACCAUGUAGAAGAAGUGUGACAAUCUAUCUCAGAAUAUGUGAGAUAAGCAGAAUAGAAAUGCCUCAGACAGAAGGGAGCUAAAGCACAUCCAUCGUGUCUGCUGUGUCCCUCAGUCCCAUGGUGACCCGCUGUCAGACCUGCUCACACCAUGCUGCUGGGAAAGGUUCAGCAAAGAAGAAAUACACGUGCUGUCUAGAACGUGGGGCCAUUUGUGUGAGGCUCCAUCUAGAUGGAAAACAAAGAACUGUUGAGAUAGCAGAGAUCUUCUGCUAUCUUAAAAACAAGAACGGCUUUGCUGUGGGGUUUUUUCUUUGCCAUAUUCAUCCUGUGCAACUCCGUGUGCAGAAUUUCGACUUAAUUGAAAUAUUUUAAUGCAACUCUCUGUAGUCAAAUUGAUAUAGUGUUAUACAGCCCAAAGCUGCACAGAAAGAUGCCGUGCUGAGGCAUAGCGAGAGUGAUGGUGAAUAAAGCAUGAUACAAGCACACUUCUUUCAGCAGUUUGGAUACUUUUGCUACCAUUUGUUAUUGUCAGCACAUAUAAUUUUUACAGUACGGUAUGAAUUCUGACUGUAGCGAGAAGAAUGCCUUCCACUGCCAGUAUGAAUAAGAUUUCAUUCAUUAGAAUAACGUGCAAGCGUAUCGUAUAGUAUUAGCACAGAAAGCUGAUGUGCAUUAAGUCUGAAUGCUGGGAGUUAUUGUGCUAAUGCUAUUGUUUGGUGAGCAACUAUUUCCCGGCAGUGAAAAAAAAAAGCAAAAAAAAAAAAAAAAGCAAGGGAAAUUAAAUACAUAAAUCAAAAAUAUGCGCAAUGUUUGAUAUUACCAUACUGAAAUUAAUGUAUUCAUAAUUUAAACUUUACCUUGCUCUAUUGUAUUAAGUUUCUGCAUACCUAUAGAGAAACAAAUGUAAACACAAAGAGAGCGACCCAUAGCCUGUGUGCUGAAACAAGUCUCUCAUUGCAGUGCUUGUUGCUGUGGGUAAAUGCAAGGGAAAUGCAGACUGUGUCGCGUUGCCAGGCGUACAGGCUGUUUGCUACCUGUGUCAGUGAGAAGUUGGGUCUGAACGCUGCAGUAGUGACGCAUCUGCUGCGACCACGCUCUCCUCGACACCCCAACAACGUCGUGCACUGCAAUCGCACUCACGUUUACACCCCAGCAACGUGGGGCACUGUGUUCCCACACAGCGAUGUGUUCAGGGGAUGAGGAGCUGCGCAGCUCCUGGCACUGCACUUCUGCUGCCCAGAGCUGAAGGUGUGCGAUGCAUAGGAUGGGCACACAGCUGCCGCCGCUCCUGCGAGAAAGGUCAAAAGUGCCUGGGAGCCGAGGUGUGCCUGAAACAGCCGUUGUACUUAAAGCCAGUAAACACGAAACUCUUCUCUAUUGAGACCCAAUUAGCUUUUCUAUUCAAAGCCGUGCUGCACUUCUGCACGUUGCUUACGAGUGGGACUGAAAAACACACGCACCAUGACACUACACUUUUAAAGUGUUUAUUGACUGCCUUUCCCGUUCUCCCAGGAUUGCCUCCUGCUUAGAUGUGAGUUUUCGGUGAAUAUGACCUGACUAAUUGUUUUCCCCUGCCAUGAUCACUACGUUUCUCAAGCAGUUUGCACCUAUUCACGGACCUCACAUCUUCAGCCUUGGAUCUUAAAGAAACUGAUAACUGCGCUUCCAGAAAACUGCUCGGUAAAUACAUUUCCUGCCCCGGGCUUUACAAGGACCGCUCUUGUCUCAGAGCCACCGUUGAAGUAAUCAGGGAGAACGGCGGGAGGCUCCAUAAAUAUGUAAAUUGUCGCCAGAUAACUGGUUUCGCUGGUUCCGCCUUGGGACUCCCGCCGGGCGGCUCCGCGGGGAGAUCCGUCGCCCCCGGCCCCGCCCUCCACGCUCCGAGAGCUCCUUCCCCUCUCCUUCCCCUCUCCUCUCCUUCCCUUCUCCUCUCCUUCCCUUCUCCUUUCCUUCUCCUCUCCUUCCCCUCUCUUUCCCCUCUCCUUCCCCUCUCCCCGCCGCUCUCCGGUGCGUGCCUGCGCCUUUCAGCUCUUUGGCAGCGUCCCGAAGGAGCUCCGCGUCUCGUCGCUGCUGGGGCAAAGCACGGGAGGCUGAGCCACACUCGGGCCCUUUCCUUUCUAACUCGGAAUCGGAAGGAUUAAAAGCGGCCACUGGCUUCCAAGUUAAAAAAUAUGUUGAAGUGAAAGUUCAAUUCUUAGUUAAACACUCACUCCUUAGUGGAUUCUGAUCUGACUGCUGUUAGACCAACAUCGGUGUUGCACUGACGCUUUAAUUAAUAAAAACGGUUGGAGUCCUCUCUGUCAUCUCAUUGUUUACCAGCCUCCGCACAAACUUUGAAGUCCCUGUCUAAAUAGGAGACCGAGAAGGAGAACAUCAGCCGCCAAAGUUACUUCGAAGCCAGAGAAGCGAGGCGGCUGAUACUGUGGGCACUGGAUGGGCUCCAUCCCUCCGCGAUCGCCGCGGCUCCCCGCCGUGGAAGCUGCCUGGCAGCCCGCGCUGGGACGGCGCUGCACUCACGGAACGCGGAGGGCUGGAGGGGUGAGGAGCUGCCGCUGCCCCGGGAUUUCCUCCUGCCCGCGGAGCCGGGCCUCACUGGGAAGGAGAUGGAGGCUGCCGGAUGGACAAAUCCACCUGUGGAUUUGUGGGUAGAUCCACCUCCGGGAGAGAUGG